AAAAAAAUUAAAUUAAAUAAAAAAUUAAAAAUAAAUUAAAUCGAACAUUCUUAAAAAAUAAAUGAGACAAACACACAUCAGUAAAAAUGCUUUCUUCACACACACACACGUAUCAGUAAAAAUAAAAAUACUUUCUUCACACACACACACUUAUAUAUACGCACACAUAGUAAAAAUACUUUCCACACACACACACACCAAUAAAAAUACUUUCUUCUCUGGGGUACUCAAACACUGUCUUUUUUGGCUAACUUAAAGCAUCCCUUGCCCUCCGGGGUAGGGUAAGGUUUUCUUCUACUUUUUAGGAUAUGGCUUACCUCCUCAUCCCUCGGUAAGGUCGUGUAUAGUUUUGUGCUCGAUAUUUAUGAGUUGUAGUUUGAGCGAACGUGCAAGUCUAUCGAGUUGUGCCAUUUGCAUUUAAUUUUAGUGAUUUGAGCAGACGAGCAAUUCAGGAGUAGGUUCUAAGAAUGGUGCACAAGUCCUUUGUUGGUUUUUCUUUGGUCAAGGGAGAUUGAGAUAUCAUGGUCUCUCUCUCCUCUCUCAUGUGUUGAUGGUGGUUAUCUGAGCCUAGUGACUUGUGGGAGAAAUUGAUUCGCUCUUGGGUUGUGGGUUUGGUCCUUAUAUUUGAAGGAUUUUGCCCUAAGCUUGCAAAGUUUUGACAGAAUAAGCCUUAUUUAUCCAGCCUUCAAUGAUCCCUCGACUAAUUCAUCAAUUUUUGACUUGUAGAAUGAGGGGAAACUAUCUUUUAAGCUAUUGCUGUCCCUAGUUGCGGCAAUUGUAUGUUAUCUAGAUUUUUGAAUUCAAGGGGAGUAACAGGUUAAACUGGAAUAUGUCCUUUUGUAUGAUUAUGUUAAUUAAAUGGAGCAUUAAUAUUUAUGGGGAGAUAACCAUCUGUUUGGAAGUGCAUGGAAUUUCUUUUGAAACUUGAUUCCAAAUGGUGUUGCACUACAACUGUUCAUUUUCUAUUACUCCUUACUCAGUUAGUCCUGAAACCUGUAAUCAAGAACUGAAGGAAUAAAGCUUGUUAUCUGUCCUUUCUCUGAGGAUUCCAUCUGUUGCUUCUUAGUUUGUUUCUGAUCACUACUACUUUUGUGCUUCUCAGUCCUCUCUGAAAUGAAGAGAUUAUUAAACAAAAUAUAAUAAGAGUGAAGCUUGUAAUUAGCUCUGAGGCUAAUUGAGGAAGCCCAUAACUUCUGCAUAGCACCAUAUAAUGUAGUGUUUGAAGAAGCUUGCUCCAUCUUGACAAUAUGUUGGAAAAUUCACAUGUUUAGCCAUUCAGCUUAGUCUGCCAUUUCCUUAAAUGGGCAUGCUUAUCUCUUAAACAGAAAGAAUAGUGCCUAUUGCUAUAAGAUUUUACCCUUGGGAAAUCAGGAUCUUUUGAUAAAUGGUCUCGUUGAAAUUCUCUCCCCAAAUGCUUCUUGAAAUUUUUUGUUCUUUCUUUUAAAGUCUGCUGUAAUAUCCAAUUAACUGUGGGCAGCUUGGUGAGGUUUUGGCAUGCAAGAAUUUACCAUAUUUUCUGCUGUGCAUUUGCACACCUUUUUAGUCAUCAGCAGAAUUUGAAGUUUUGUCCUGUAAUGAACUUCUAUACUUGUUAGGACUUAUCCAUCUUUACAGAAUGAACCAACUAAUUCUGCAUGGAUAUACUGGGUCAAUAGUUGGAAAAAUACGAAAAUUAAAUUUAGUCUUUUUGCAUACCACUGUAUGUUAAACUAAUUAUCUUAAACAUUGCAUGAU
rnacentral:misc_RNA from 1 species